AGUGCGCACGCGCGAACCGCGUUCCCUGUGCCCGUCCGGUAUCCGAAGUGUCCCGCGUUCGUCAUGUCGGCCUCGGUGGUGUCGGUCAUCUCGCGGUUCCUGGAGGAGUACUUGAGCUCCACUCCCCAGCGGCUGAAGUUGCUGGACGCCUAUCUCCUUUAUAUACUGCUGACCGGGGCGCUGCAGUUCGGCUACUGUCUCCUCGUGGGCACCUUCCCCUUCAACUCGUUCCUCUCCGGCUUCAUCUCCUGUGUGGGCAGCUUCAUCCUAGCGGUUUGCUUGAGAAUACAGAUCAACCCCCAGAACAAGGCGGAUUUCCAAGGCAUCUCUCCAGAGCGAGCCUUUGCUGAUUUCCUCUUUGCCAGCACUAUCCUGCACCUUGUCGUCAUGAACUUCGUUGGCUGAACUGCUCCCAUUUCCUUAGUUGUGGAGUUGGAGAUUGGCAGAACGCAGGGUUUAUCUAUGUAGCCCAGGCCAGUCUCAAGCUUGCAAGCCUCCUGCCUCAGCCUCCUGCCUUCGGGGAUUUCAGGUUCACUCUUUGACAUCCCCUGGAUAAGAAUUCUUGAGAUGACAGCUUGUUGGACAUUGAUGAUUCAGAUCUGUGCUUUGCUGUGGCCCUGACUGGGUGUGAAAUGGGGAGUCCAGAGACCCCCCUUUACUCUGUCAGACCAGCUUCACAAUGUGUGUCUGUUAACACGGAAUUGGCCUUCUGCAAAUGUAACCCCUGCUCUCCAAAUUAAAGUUUCUCUGCCAUUCCCCGCCA